CGGGCAGUAGCUCAGUGGUAGAGCUCCUGCUUCGUAUGCGGGAAGACCUGGAUUCGAUUUCCGGUUGCUUAC
rfam:Toxocara canis scaffold60, whole genome shotgun sequence.